UACGUAGGGGGGCAAGCGUUGUCCGGAAUUAUUGGGCGUAAAGAGCGUGUAGGCGGUCCGGUAAGUCGGCUGUGAAAGUCCAGGGCUCAACCCUGGGAUGCCGGUCGAUACUGCCGGACUAGAGUUCGGAAGAGGCGAGUGGAAUUCCCGGUGUAGCGGUGAAAUGCGUAGAUAUCUGGAGGAACACCGGUGGCGAAGGCGGGUCUCUGGACAGUUCCUGACGCUGAGGCACGAAGGCUAGGGGAGCAAACGGGG
rnacentral:rRNA from 1 species